CUGGCACAUGGCAAACAGGAUGACCUUUCCAUCCUAGGAAAAUAUGUCAAUGUUUAACCUCAUUGCACUCAACCAGACGUUUCCUUGCACAAAUUUUCAAGUGAAAUAUUUCAAUCCUGCAUUCAUCUUGGGGGCCACAUGUCUUAUCCAAGUUAAAUAUUUCCAGAAAAUAAAUGUCUAGACACCGUCUCAUAUAAAUUAAGCACCCGGUUUUUAAAAGAUUUCUAGCAGACCUCCUUUUUGGUGUGUGGGUGAGUAUAAUUUGACUCCUGUGAACAACUCUGGGUCGGAUCUGAUGUGCCUAAGCCUGUGCACCUGCAGGCGGUUAAUGAGCGCUGCUGAGUCACGGUGGAUGGUGUGGGUUAGGGGAGGGGGUCGGGGUUAGGGGAAGGUGGUGAUGGACGAGGGGGACAUGACGGGAAGAGAGGACUCUGGAGGAUAUUCCAUAGAAGAGCAACGAGAUCUGUUUACUUGGAGGUCAUGAUUUUCAAGAAUCUUGGAUUGAAAAAGUCCUUGUAUGCUGAAAUCCACCUCAGGGAGGCUUGCCAUAUUGGUUAACCCUCUCAUCGGAGAAUAAAGAAAAUGUGACUGUACACGAAGAUAGUAACACAACAAUGGACUCUGAACCAGAAGAAAACCUUCAAUUUACAGAAUCCUGGAGCAUCAUAACCAGAGGGACCUUUGGCCCAGCUCCCGGCACCAACUGUAAAACUCUCUUUCUCCCUCUGCCACCUGAUAAUUAGGAAAGCCUCAGCAAUUUGCAAAAGAAGAACUUCAAGGUCUGUUCUGGCCCUGAGAAUCUAGGACAAGGUGCAUCUUGAUGGGUUCUGGACCAGGUCUGGAGCAGGUCCUAGGAAGGACUUGCCAAGAUUCCACCUGUUCUAGACCUCCUCAUGACACUUAGGGCCAAAUACAAUUGUCCUGAAGAUUUAGCCUGGUAAUUUAACAGGACUCCAACUAAAAUGCAUUGAGAGAAAUAAUUGACUUCAAAAAUUAACCAGUAAAAAAUACAUACAUAUUAUCAACAAGUGAAUAAUAGGCCAAACCAACUCGAGAUUACUAAUUCCUGGAGUAGAAGUAAAAUGGAUGGGGCAUGAAGAGAUGCAUUUUAGAGCUGAAUAGCUUUGCGUAGAAAUUUUGGUUCUGUCACUUGAAGUGACUUGGCAAGUUAGUCACCUGUCUUUCCCUGUAUCCUUAUCUAUAACUUAGGGAAUAUUCAUGCCCAUUUCUCUGAGGAAUAAAGUGAUUUAUGGUGUAGGGAAAGAGUAACUAGCCAAGAUGGUGGUAAUCAGGCUCUUUCCCCAUAUUUCCUCUCACUCAUGCCCCAUGUUUUUUCACUCUCCUCCCACAGUCUGUAAACAAUGACUUUAUAUUUCUAUAUUCAGUUGAGAGCAUUUAUAGCACUGCACGUGUGCAUCACUCCUAUAUUAGUGCCACUUGAACAGCCCUUGCUGAGCACUGCGGAGGCAUCAAACAUUAGAGAAUAAAGCAUGUCUGCCUUGCUGCUGCAAAUAAAGAAUGUCUGCAAUUCCUA